UGGGCUUGACAUCCCGAGAAUCUCUUAGAAAUAAGAGAGUGCUAGUUUACUAGAGCUCGGUGACAGGUGCUGCACGGCUGUCGUCAGCUCGUGUCGUGAGAUGUUGGGUUAAGUCCCGCAACGAGCGCAACCCUCGUCCUUAGUUACUAACGGUUCGGCCGAGGACUCUAAGGAGACUGCCCUCGCAAGGGGGAGGAAGGUGAGGACGACGUCAAGUCAUCAUGGCCCUUAUGCCCAGGGCGACACACGUGCUACAAUGGGGAGGACAAAAAGAAGCAAUACCGCGAGGUGGAGCAAAUCUUUAAACCUUCUCUCAGUUCGGAUUGGAGUCUGCAACCCGACUCCAUGAAGCUGGAAUCGCUAGUAAUCGUGAAUCAGCCAUGUCACGGUGAAUACGUUCCCGGGUCU
rnacentral:rRNA from 1 species